UCAAGCAUGGUGUAAUGGGAACACAGCCUCCUAUUCUAGGAGCAUCAAAUGGAGAUUGAGAGGCAGUCUAGGGUUCGAAUCCCUGUUUCUGAA